AAUCAACGCUGGCGGCGUGCCUAACACAUGCAAGUCGAACGCGAAAAGGGGCAACCCUGAGUAGAGUGGCGUCCGGGUGAGUAACACGUGGAUAAUCUACCUGCGGGUGGGGAAUAACUUUCCGAAGGGGAGCUAAUACCGCAUAACACUAAGUGGUGGCAUCACCAAAUAGUCAAAGUGGGGGAGUCGCAAGACCUCACGCCUGUAGAGGAGUCCGCGGCCGAUUAGCUAGUUGGUGAGGUAACAGCUCACCAAGGCGACUAUCGGUAGCCGGCCUGAGAGGGCGAACGGCCACACUGGCACUGAAAACGGGCCAGACUCCUACGGGAGGCAGCAGUGGGGAAUUUUGGGCAAUGGCCGAAAGGCUGACCCAGCAACGCCGCGUGAAGGAUGAAAUCCUUCGGGAUGUAAACUUCGCAAGUCAAGGAAGAAUAGAUGGAAGCUAAUACCUUCUAGAUGACGGUACUUGACGUAAGCCCGGCUAACUCCGUG
rnacentral:rRNA from 1 species